GAUCAGGUAGGAAGACCCGCUGAACUUAAGCAUAU
rnacentral:rRNA from 1 species